rnacentral:snoRNA from 1 species
AGAAGAUUCUCUAACCAUACAAAAGACAAUAAUUUGAGCUUGCUACUGCAAGAAAGUCUAACUUAUUCCAGCACUUUCCUCUGUGAGACAGGCCAUUAUAUACACAUAAACAAU